GUAGGUGGCAAGCGUUGUCCGGAAUUAUUGGGCGUAAAGCGCGCGCAGGCGGUUCUUUAAGUCUGAUGUGAAAGCCCACGGCUCAACCGUGGAGGGUCAUUGGAAACUGGAGAACUUGAGUACAGAAGAGGAAAGCGGAAUUCCACGUGUAGCGGUGAAAUGCGUAGAGACGUGGAGGAACACCAGUGGCGAAGGCGGCUUUCUGGUCUGUAACUGACGCUGAGGCGCGAAAGCGUGGGGAGCAAACAGGGAUUAGAUACCCUGGUAGUCCACGCCGUAAACGAUGAGUGCUAAGUGUUAGGGGGUUUCCCGCCCCUUAGUGCUGCAGCUAACGCAUUAAGCACUCCGCCUGGGGAGUACGGCCGCAAGGCUG
rnacentral:rRNA from 1 species